CUGAGUUCCCUGGUCCUUCUAAUCACAGAUCACCACUGAUCAGAUACCAUUCACCAUGGACUUGGGGCUCAGUUGGCUUUUGCUUGCCAUUAUUUUAAAAGGUGUCAAAAGUGAGGUUCAGCUUGUGCAGUCGGGAGGAGGCUUGGUGCAACCUGGAAAGUCCCUAAAACUCUCCUGUGUGGCCUCUGGAUUCACCUUCAGUAAUUAUGGGAUGAGCUGGGUCCGCCAGUCUCCAGGGAAGGCCCUGGAGUGGGUUGCAUAUAUUUAUAAUAGUAAUAGCAUCUACUAUGCUGACGCUGUGAAGGGCCGAUUCACCAUCUCCAGAGACAAUGCCAAGAACACCCUAUACCUGGAAAUGGGCAGUCUGAAGUCUGAGGACACAGCCAUAUAUUAUUGUGCAAGAGACACAGUGAAUGAAAGCUACUGUGAACUCACACACAAACUUCCAUGCAAAGUGCUCAGGACCAGCAGGUGGCGCUGA